GCGCGGGCAGGCGUGUUUUUAUAGUCCAUGCUGAAGCGCCCCGGCCUCACACCCGGGCCGCGCCCAAUGGAAACCUGCGGAGGCUUGCGCCGCGAGCAGAGCACGAGGGAAUUCAAGUGUAGCGGUGAAUGGAGAGAUGUGGAGGAAUACAGUGGGAAGGGACUUUUUGGUCUGUAAUGACGUUGAGGCGGAAAGCGUGGGGAGCAAACAGGAUUAGAUACCUGGUAGUCCACGCCGUAAAACGAUGAGUGUAGGUGUUAGAGGGUUUCCGCCCUUUAGUGCUGAAGCUAACGCAUUAAGCACUCCGCUGGGGAGUACGGUCGCAAGGUGAAACUAAAAGGAAUUGACGGGGACCCGCACAAGCGGUGGAGCAUGUGGUUUAAUUGAAGCAACGCGAAGAACCUUACCAGGUCUUGACAUCCCCCUGACCAGUACAGAGAUGUACUUUCCCCUUCGGGGGCAGGGGUGACAGGUGGUGCAUGGUUGUCGUCAGCUCGUGUCGUGAGAUGUUGGGUUAAGUCCCGCAACGAGCGCAACCCUUGUCCUUAGUUGCCAGCAUUUGGUUGGGCACUCUAAGGAGACUGCCGGUGACAAACCGGAGGAAGGUGGGGAUGACGUCAAAUCAUCAUGCCCCUUAUGACUUGGGCUACACACGUGCUACAAUGGACGGUACAAAGGGCAGCGAAGUCGCGAGGUGGAGCCAAUCCCAGAAAGCCGUUCUCAGUUCGGAUUGCAGGCUGCAACUCGCCUGCAUGAAGUCGGAAUCGCUAGUAAUCGCAGGUCAGCAUACUGCGGUGAAUACGUUCCCGGGUCUUGUACACCCCCCCCGUCACACCACGAGAGUUUGCUGUCACCUCGAUGGUUCGAGGAGAAGUCGUAACAAGGUAAGCCAUGCUAGAGUGAGG
rnacentral:rRNA from 1 species